UUAUGUUCUUAUGUUCUUAUGAAUGUGUAUGAACUCGAACGUACGUCCUGCCAAUCAAGCCAUUGAUCAUGUGACAUAAAGCGCAGGAUCAGAAGAGGUCGGCAGCAAUGGCAGGGAACGACUGCGCUUCGGGUAGUCAGGCUGAGAUUGUACAGUCAGCCAGGCACCUGCUGAAUUUACUAACGUCGUCAGGAAGAGAAGGUUUAACAAGUCAAGCUGCGAGUGACCAGCGACAGAGGUCAAAGUGACGGUUCAAGCCUUCAGCCACCAAGACCAUCACUUCAAAUGGAAAUGACUAGGUCCUUUCCAGGUCUUUUUACUAAGAGCAAAGGGAAAAGGCGAUUCCCAGCAGCAAACCUCGUUCCUGCCAAGAAACCUAAGCCACUUCUAUUUGCUCCCAAAGCAGUGUGACAAAUCUCCACAAGAGCAGGAGCAAAUAGUCCACAUGCAGGCGGGGUUGGGCCGUAGGACUGCUACUAUAGAUGAGAGCACAACACAUGAAGAGUUAUGUGAUGCACUCAAAGUUUUAUUCCCAAAAUUGGAGACGGUUACUGGUGGGUGGCUGCUUUACAAAUCAUCAGGAGGAUGGGGUAGCCGAAAACUCACUAUUCUGGCUCCUGAUGAUACCAGCUACACAGGAAGGAUCUUGAAGGCUGCAAGUCGUGGGGGCAAAAAUCUAUUUAUAGCUCCAAUUCAAGAAGAACUCAGCACAACUCCUUUACAACUAACUGAUAAAACAUUCAGUAACAUGCCAAAAGAAGCUUGUCAGAAGUGUGGAGUAGCAGUUCCCCUGCAGCUCCUACUAGAACAUGUGAAGUCUUGUGCCAUCAUCAAUGUUGACACUGACGAACAUCUGGAUGAUAUUGGUAAUGCCCAGAUCCUGAACCUGACCCGCCUUUCCCGCCGAGCCCGGCUCCUCGUGUCUCCCCUCACCUUUGUGGUCUUGUCGUGUCCUUCUUCGUCGGACGGAUUUACCCAGCAACGACCUCCUCUUCUGCCCCGCGACUACGAGUACUGCUACAUUCCCAUCGGACAUCCCAGCACCCUUGCCUGUCCAGGGGCUCGGUCCCCAGCCUCGCUCCCUGCCCAGCUCCACCUGGGGAAGAGUUAGUGGACUACCCCUCCUGCUCUGCACUAGGGUGUGACUCUCUAUCUUGGAACCUUUCAUUAAACCUUGGUUCUCCCUGCAUUCCUGGAUCCUGGUCUCUGUUCCCUGGGUGUCGUGACAAGUAUGACAUGAGAUUUUUUUUUAUUGACCUGUUAGCAUAGUAUUAAUCCACACCAGAAAUGGUUUUCUUCAAAAUAAGUUAUUUUUGUAACUUGAAUUUCUCAACAGCAGAUAAGCAGUCCUGUCCUGUCUGUAGUGAAAUGUUUCCCACUGACUAUAUUGAAGUACAUGCUUCCUCCUGUGGAGAGAGUGCAGGAAAUGAGGGGAGGCAUACAAGUACCACUAAUAAUGAACAAGCAGCAAUACCUGGACCAUCUGGAACCCAUGCAACAGUUACAGAUGACUGGUUAACUAUGAGUGACCCUACCAAGGCCAUAGCACAUUGUGCGGGUGCUUUUCUCCGCCUUCAUGAAAUGGAGCAUCCCUUACUUCUGAGCAUGGACAUAAGAAGAAGUCCUACUGAACAGGACAUGGCUAUUAUCGCCUUUUACAAGCGGCCAAAUGUGGAAUGGGCACGACCCCUGAUUUGUAGACUUGAAGGCAGCAACAUUACAGUUGUCAAAAAUACUUUAUUUCCAGUCUCUUGAUAUUGUCAAAUUUUGCAUUUUGUUACUGUAGGAGAUGCUGCUAUUGGAGAGGGCGUAACUCGCUUUUUUCUCUCAACGUGCAUUGACAAGCUGAAGUCUGGCUUUUGCAUCCAUUUUUGUAAGUACACAUCAACUAUGUCUUAUAACGAUGCCAAAUGUUUGUGUAAUGCUAUGUUUAUCUUACAAAGCAUGGAUAA